rnacentral:rRNA from 1 species
UUCAGAGGGUGCGAGCGUUGUCCGGAAUCACUGGGCGUAAAGGGCGCGUAGGCGGCUCCUUAGGCGGGUGGUGAAAGCGCGGGGCUCAACCCCGCGUCGGCCAUGCGAACUGGGGAGCUGGAGCACGUCAGAGGCAGGCGGAAUUCCGGGUGUAGCGGUGGAAUGCGUAGAGAUCCGGAAGAACACCGGUGGCGAAGGCGGCCUGCUGGGACGUGGCUGACGCUGAGGCGCGACAGCGUGGGGAGCAAACAGG